AAUUCUCAAACCUUCUUGGUUUUUGGACCAAGAUGGCUUUGGACUUUGGAGGCGUUUUGCUGGCUUUGCGAAAAGCCAGCUCCUCUCAAAUGCAUUAGUGGGGUCCACUUUGCCGAUCCCCAGGCGUGAUAAGAUGCUUUCUACGUCUUGGGAUUUGCUCUGUUCCUCGGGAACCUGCUUUCAAACCGUCUCGUGGGAGACACCGUUCGAGUUCGCUCGGCGCACGAACC
rnacentral:misc_RNA from 1 species